CCUACGGGAAUCUUCCGCAAUGGACGAAAGUCUGACGGAGCAACGCCGCGUGAGCGAUGAAGGCCUUCGGGUCGUAAAGCUCUGUUGUUAGGGAAGAACAAGUACCGGAGUAACUGCCGGUACCUUGACGGUACCUAACCAGAAAGCCACGGCUAACUACGUGCCAGCAAGCCGCGGUAA
rnacentral:rRNA from 1 species